CAAAAGUGCUGUUUUACCCUUGACAGGAGCUGAAGCACUUGCAGACCUGAGCCUGGCCCUGCCUGGCUGUGUCUAAUCCUGGUUACAUUCACUGGACCUGAUCCUGACUCCAACUCCUGGGCUCUUGUUCCCAUUCCCAAGGAGGUGCCUGGCGCCCUGGGCUGCAGGCUGCCCCCAUCCUUCUCCAGAGACACAAUAUCUCUGCAAAUUUCCAGUCUGCCAGCUCCUUCUGAGAUAUUUCCGUGAACCUACAACUAGAAGAAAAAGGGCUUUAAUCUAUUUCACUGGAAUUGGUAUGACUCUAUAUUGACAACGUGAGGGAGUCCAAUGACUGUGAUGUGCCUGUUGGUCCAGAGUGAAAGACAAAGAGGUACACAACUUUACUUGUCAGGUUCAGCUCUGGAGAUCAUGUUGCUGAAGGAGAACCAAAGAGGGUCAUAAUUGGCAAACUGUCUCAAAUCACUCCUUAACUACACAUUCCUUCAUCUGGGUUUCAUUCACAACUUCUUUCACCCCAAACAUAUUUACAGCUUUUGGAGGCUGAAUCCUGUUAAGCUGCACCAUUGGUAGCUCCUCCACAUGCAGAAACCAUGCUUGAUCUUAGCUGUGUGCUGCAAGAGUUCAGAAACCACAAAGUCUAAAUUGAAAAACAUCCCUUUCCUGACACUUUAAGUGCCGGACAAUCCUGUUCACUGGCACAGGAAGAGAGGGAUUAUUAUCCUUUUCAGGAAGCAGCCUAAGAAACCAUGGCCAUGCAGCCUGAGAGCAGACAGACACU